CCUACGGGUGGCUGCAGUGGGGAACAUUGCACAAUGGGCGCAAGCCUGAUGCAGCCAUGCCGCGUGUGUGAAGAAGGCCUUCGGGUUGUAAAGCACUUUCAGCGGGGAGGAAGGCGGUGAGGUUAAUAACCUCAUCGAUUGACGUUACCCGCAGAAGAAGCACCGGCUAACUCCGUGCCAGCAGCCGCGGUAAUACGGAGGGUGCAAGCGUUAAUCGGAAUUACUGGGCGUAAAGCGCACGCAGGCGGUCUGUCAAGUCGGAUGUGAAAUCCCCGGGCUCAACCUGGGAACUGCAUUCGAAACUGGCAGGCUAGAGUCUUGUAGAGGGGGGUAGAAUUCCAGGUGUAGCGGUGAAAUGCGUAGAGAUCUGGAGGAAUACCGGUGGCGAAGGCGGCCCCCUGGACAAAGACUGACGCUCAGGUGCGAAAGCGUGGGGAGCAAACAGGAUUAGAUACCCUAGUAGUC
rnacentral:rRNA from 1 species